rnacentral:rRNA from 1 species
UUCACGGAGAGUUUGAUCCUGGCUCAGGACGAACGCUGGCGGCGUGCUUAACACAUGCAAGUGGAGCGACGAACCAGGCUUCGGCCUGGGGCAGAGCCGCGAACGGGUGAGUAACACGUGGGUAA